rnacentral:rRNA from 1 species
CGCUGUGAAGAUGCAGUGUAUCCGCGGCUAGACGGAAAGACCCCGUGAACCUUUACUGUAGCUUUGCACUGGACUUUGAGCCUGCUUGUGUAGGAUAGGUGGGAGGCUUUGAAGCGUGGACGCCAGUUCGCGUGGAGCCAUCCUUGAAAUACCACCCUGGCAUGCUUGAGGUUCUAACUCUGGUCCGUCAUCCGGAUCGAGGACAGUGUAUGGUGGGCAGUUUGACUGGGGGCGGUCUCCUCCUAAAGAGUAACGGAGGAGUACGAAGGUGCGCUCAGACCGGUCGGAAAUCGGUCGCAGAGUAUAAAGGCAAAAGCGCGCUUGACUGCGAGACAGACACGUCGAGCAGGUACGAAAGUAGGUCUUAGUGAUCCGGUGGUUCUGUAUGGAAGGGCCAUCGCUCAACGGAUAAAAGGUACUCCGGG